UACGUAGGGUGCAAGCGUUGUCCGGAAUUAUUGGGCGUAAAGAACUCGUAAACGGUCUGUCGCGUCUGCUGUGAGAACUCAAAACUUAACCCUGAGCUUGCAGUGGGUACGGGCAGACUAGAGUACGGUAGGGGAGACUGGAAUUCCUGGUGUAACAAUGAAAUACGCAGAUAUCAGGAGGAACACCGGUGGCGAAAACGGGUCUCUUAACCGUAACUGACGCUGAGGAGCGAAAGCAUGGGGAGCGAACAGG
rnacentral:rRNA from 1 species